CUUCCUCUCGAUUCGGUCUCCGCGGACCGGAGCAGACAACCGCAUCAUGCUGUGGGAGAACUCUUGAUUUACUGGGGACGUUUUCACGGAGGAGCUGAGGGCACCCUUGGACCUCCCCCCACCCACCCCCCACCCCCCCCAUUUCGCAGCUGGGAGCUGAGAUCCGGACGGCCUCCAAGUGCAGUGCUCGGGGCUGGGCGGAAGGUUAGUCGCCAAGCUGGGAAGGGGACCGGCCUCCCGCCACCUCCUCUAGUCCGACUUUGCCAGAUGACGUGGCGUGGACAGUGAGCACCUCACCGGAACCGUCUCCGGUGCGGCCGGGGGGGCCAGCUGGUGCGCCCACGAAACGCCGGGCACCUUGGCAUCAGCAGGUCCGGGGUCGGAUCCUGCCUCGGCCGGUGUCAGCUGUGAGGAUUCUGACACGUCCCUGAACCUCUCUGUGCCUCAGUUUCCUCCUCUGUAAAAUGGGGGGCUCACAGUGAGGACUGAGCGGGUUAAUUCACAUAAGGCGCGCCAAGCAGCGGCUGAACGUGAGAGUGAGCGUCGUUCUUCUGGUCCCCGAGGGUUUUUGCACUGACCGCUCUGGGAGGCUGUGUGCUGUGCCCGAGGGACCGGACCCUCUCGCCCGGGCGACGGUGCUGCUGUCCCGUCAACAAAUGUGAGGACCGAUGUUUGGGACCUGGGGGCAGAGGGAGGGCUCUCUAGAUGGGCCAUUUCUGAGCAUUUUUGCUCAAAGGGCAGCCAUUCAUUUGGCCCCUCACCAAACCAUGGUGACAGCUGCCAGGGGGUUUCUUUGAGGCAGUGAGGGGCCAGCUGGGGACCCUGGUAGCCACCAGCAGACUCUGGGACUGGGGAUAGGGUUGUAGCCCCAGCUCUGGCCCCGCCCAGCGUGCCCUGGGACAUGGGGGCUGGCACCUCUGUCUUCCGGCCCCUCGCGGUGCUACGACCUGGCCUCAUUUGACCCUCUCUGUUCCCGGCAGUGAGGGCUGGGGGCUGGGGACGCUGACUCUCCAAGGGCCCCGCCCAAGACCGUGGUGCGAGACACCUGGGGGGGGUGCCCCCCAUGGCACCCCGCUCCCUGCACCUGGCUCUCCCUGCCCUCCUCCCUCCCUCCAUCAGCCAGCCGCUCUGGUUUCUCCUUUCUAGCAGAAACCCAUCCCCGGCUCCCACCUCCGCCUGGACGCGGCUGAAGCCUAGGUCUUUGGACACAGUGACCCUUCCCGGACAGCGGUGGCCCACAGUGGCUCGUGAGCGACCACUCUCAGGAAACUGAACUGAUACUCCGCACGACUUCUUGGGUGAAAAUGCCCUGCCCGGGGGGAAUGACCGGCUCAAAUGACGGAAAUUUCCGGCGCGCUGGCGGGCCGGCCCUCGGGGAAGUGGAGGCAGAGCCUGAGCGAGGGCCGGCUGGGCAGCCGGGCCCGACUCCGUCCCUCCACCGACGACGCGGGGCGGCAGGUUGGAUUGAGUGCACUUGAGGCGCCCCAAUCCGGGUGUUUCCUUCUCUCGGGUGGGGCCCGGGGAUCUCCCCGGAGACUCAGCUCUUGCCCUGCACUCUUCCUACCUGCCUGAGGGAUCCCAAGGCCCCGGGCUGCAAGCCUGCAAGGCAGCCGGAAGAGGCCGAGGAGGAAGGGGACCCCGGAGGCCAGAGGACAUCCUGGGCGCAGAGCCAUGAAAAAGCUGGAGUGAGCAGGGAAGAGUGAUAAAGAAGAGAGUUCUGGAAGAAGCCAGAGGAAGGCUGCCUUGCUGAGCUGACCAGGUUCACCUCGCCAGAGCGUCCGCGUUCGUGGGUCCCUCAGCUCUUCACAAACAGAUCCCCACUGCUCCCUUUGUCACUUUGCAUCACGCGUGGCUGCUUUGGGGAUAUUGACUGAUUAUCCUCGGCUGGGGUCGUGGGGCUCCCUCCCACCACCGGGCCUUUGCACGUGCCUCUGGCUUUGCCAAGAGUGCCUUUCCUUUCACUCUGGGCCUCGGUGGAUUAAGCACAAGACCGGCCCUGCCCCUUUCUCCCAGAAACCUUCACAAGCCCCUCCUUGAGGUGGUGACGCGUCCCUCCUCUGGCUGUGGCAGUCUCUGUUCACCUCUGUCACACACUGUGGCGACCCGUGCUUGUGGGAACUGUAUAGACGGGGACUCUGGCUUUGUCUUAUUCAUCCUUGUAGCCCGCGGCCUUUAUGUUGUGCAGGGCAAGGAACCCAACAACCAUGACUCAAUAAAUACCUGUUAAUGAAAUACAAAUAUCCAAGGAAUCAAUUUGCUACGUCACCUUCUCCGGGAAGACUUCUGUGAUCCUUCCAACCUGGGAGGCUUUUCCCCACACGGGCUUCCUUCCCAUUCUGUCUGUGCCUCCUUCUUCCCCCGACCCCUUUCUCCUUUUCUGUUCCACGGCGGGUAGCCGGGCACUUAGGAAGUGCUCGGUAAGCGGUCACUGAGUGACAGUUAGUGGAAAACUGCACUGAUUUUGUUUACAGCAGCGUGGAAAGAAUCUUUCUGGGAUAUUCCGGGUACUGGCAUCUUUUCUUUUUUUUUUUUUUUUUUUGUCCUUACGUUGUCAAAACCGAUAUUCCAAAUGUCCCUAAUAUUCCACGGAAGAGCAUUAAUUCUGAGACCCGAUCGCCUGUCUGGGUAAUGUAUUUACCUUUCACUGGUUGUACAGGCUCACGGCAUUUGCUAGUUAUUGUCGUCUGUCGUUGUUGUCUUGAGGCCCGUAGAAUUUUCGGAGCCUAGAAUGUGAGGGUCGGUGGAGCCCUGAAAGGUCGCCUGGUGUUUUUCGGGCCACCUCAUGUUAUAGACCAGGAAACCAAGGACUAGAAAACCAGAAUAUUUCAUGAGGACAAGUCAGAGGCCAAUGAAGUGGGUCUCAUCUGUCCUCACCUUCUACGCACAGACAUGCGCUCUGCUCAAGCCUUAAUCGAGGCCACCGCGUCUCAUAUGAAGGGACCCGGUGGCUUGGGAAGCCUUCACGAGUGGGUCCAGGAGGGAGACCUGGCUUCCUGUGGGGCCGCAAAGCCCACCCUCUCAGGGCUCUCAGCCAGCCCGGGAUACUGGUCUGUGCUCCACGCGGGGCACCCAGGAGCCUUGGGAAACACUCGGCCCCGCUACACCCUUGAUCUGAUCCUAAUACCCAACCCCCCCGCCCCACUGUCGUGCCUGACUCGGUAGAAGAAUCUUCCAGAGAUGUGGGAACGUUGCGUGUUAGGAAGGACCGUUCAGAAAACACGUAUAGAAUUCAGGAAGCUUCACUGCUACUGUUUUCGCCGGGUUGGAAGGUCCAUGAGGAUGACGGCCUGACCCCAUCGCGUCCCAGCACCAGUGAUGGCACCUAGUAAAAUACCACCCAGCGCAUAUUUGUUGCGUUGGAAUUAAGUUAAGAAUGUGCACUUCACCAACUUGUUGCUCAAAACUGGAAUGACGCAGGGGCGCCCGGGGAGGCUCAGUCAGUUAAGGGCUGGCUCUUGAUUUCGGCUCAGGUCAUGAUCUCAUGGUUUGCGAGUUCGAGCCCCGCAUCGGGCUCUCCACGGACAGCACAGAGCCUGCUUGGGAUUCUCUCUCUCUCUUUCUCUGUCUGGCCCUCCCCGGCUCACGAUCUCCCCCUGCCCCACCCCCCCAAAUAAAUAAACAUUAAAAAAAUGAUGAUACAAAGACCCCCAUGCUAGGGUGCUACAUAACUCAGUAAAGGAAGAUAAACAUACGGGAGAAAAAAUAUAAAAACCUGAGAAGGAAGAAUAUAAAGCAGCCUGAGAGUAGGAACCAGCAGGGAUGGGGGUACCGGGGAAACUGGCUCGUAUCUAUUAGGUUUCUUUCUUUCUUUUUAAAAAAAA